rnacentral:rRNA from 1 species
GGAAGUAAAAAGUCGUAACAAGGUUUCCGUAGGUGAACCUGCGGAAGGAUCAUUAACGAGUUUUUUGAAGGGGGAGGUUGUCGCUGGCCCUAGGGCAUGUGCACGCCUCGCUCGAAUUCAUCUCUUUACACCUGUGAACCUUUGGUAGAUCGGAUUUAUUGACUCUGUAAGGGGGUCGGUGGAGCCUUUCGGCCUUUUAUUACACACGUCGGAGAAUGUCUUAUAGAAUGUCAUCGCAUCUUUGUAUGCAAAUUUAUAAUAUAACUUUCAGCAACGGAUCUCUUGGCUCUCGCAUCGAUGAAGGACGCAGCGAAAUGCGAUAAGUAAUGUGAAUUGCAGAUUUCAGUGAAUCAUCGAAUCUUUGAACGCACCUUGCGCUCCUUGGUAUUCCGAGGAGCAUGCCUGUUUGAGUGUCAUUAAAUCAUCAACUUCGUUUUUUCCUUGUCGGAAAGAAUGAAGCUUGGACUUGGAGGUAUACUUGUCGGCCCUCUGUCGGUCGGCUCCUCUUAAAUGCAUUAGCUCGAGCCCUUGUGUGGAUCGGCCAUCGGUGUGAUAAUAAUCGUCUACGCCGCGGUCGAAAACGCUCUGUGGAUGUCGGCUUCUAAUCGUCCCUUUGAAGGGGACAGCUUUGACCUUUGACCUCAAAUCAGGGUAGG